UUUUACUAUGGUUGCAAAUAUCAAAAAAUUUCUAUAUGUGACACGGCACCAGAGUUAAGUUAGGGUUUUUCAAAAUGCUGACACGCCAAGCUCAAAAGGUUCGCCAUCACUGAGCUAGAGAAAAGAGGCAGACUAGGGAUGGGUUUGGAGGCAGAGCUGACAUGACCGGUGGAUAUGGAGGUGAGGGAAAGAGGAAUAGAAGAAUCAAGGAUGACUUCAGUUUGGGCUUGAGCAAUUUGUUGUAUGGUGGUCUGGCCAUUUAUGAGAAAUACUGGAGGAGGACCAGGUUUAGGAGGGAAAAUCAGUUCCGUUUUGGCCAUGCUGAGUUUGAGAUUCCUGUAUAAGACCCAAAUGGAGACACUGAGUGGCAGUUGAGUGCAAGAAGCUGGCUACCAUGAGGGAGGUGAGGAUUGGAAAUAUAAAAUGUGGGCCAUGGCUGGUGUGGCUUAGUGGUUGGAGUGUUGGCUGGAGCACUGGGGAAUCACGGGUUCAAUUCCUGGUAAAGGGCAGAUGAGGAUUAGCAACAACAAAGAAAUAUAAAAUGUGGGGUCAUCAGUACAUAGAUGGUAUUUAAAGCCAUACAACUAAGCAGCUAUCGUCUGCCAGCCUGUCUCACUCAUUUUAUGCUGCCCGAGUGAAUUUGAGAUCUUGUUCAUCAGGGAAAACUGAACACCUCAUCCCUCCCUCUCAUCCCCACAGGGCCUGGCUUGACCUACCUAAUUUUUCCUUGCCUAUUGUCCUUUGGCAGCCACCUAUAAGUGAGAACAUUUGCACUAAAAUGUUAGAUAAAUGCUUCGGGAAACUUGACUUUCAUGCGUCUUAAAACAAAGUUUAAAAGUUCACGUUUUGUGGGGGCGUUUUUGGUGGUGGAGGUGGGGCACAUGGACAUUAAUGUGUAGUCCUAGCCCCAGGUUCUUAUGGGAUAGCUGAAGAACAACGAAAUUGAUCUAUGACAGUGGUUCUGAACUGGGGACAGUUUUGCCCCAUAGUGGACACUUAGCAAUGUCUGGAGAUAUUUUUGCCACAACUGUGGGGUUGGAUACUGCUGGCAUCUAGUGGGUAAAGUUUUGGCUUGAGCAGUUUGGUAUAUGUUGUAUGCCACCAAACAUCCUACAAUGCACAGGUUACCCCCUACCCAACCCCUGACAACAAAGAAACACUGGGCCCGAAAUCUCUAUAUGACCAAGGUUGAAAAACCCUGACGAUUCUAAAACAUGUUCCAUUGAGGAAGCACCCCACUAAUCAUAGGAUUAUGCUGUGGGAGUGGUUUAGAGGUAGUGACCUGUGUCACAUCUCAGGCAGGAGCUCUCAGAGGAGAGGGAUAUGUUGCCCUUUGAGGAGACCAUACAUCUCUGCUUUCAAUAAUUGAUGUGAUAUUUACCCCAGGAGGAAGCCGAUCCCAUCUAACAGGAGGUAAGUGACCUUGAUUCUGUGGGACCUUUUUGUGAGGUAGAGUACUAGCUGGUUCCAGACACUGUGCUAAGUCAUCACCCACAUGACUUCAUUUAAUUACAGGGUUGGGCACGGGGCUGCCCAGUAGAAUAGGGGCUCAGGCAAGAGGAAAGUUACAAACCCAGAGGCUCCCCUCAUGCUCCUGCCUCGUAAAACUUCUGCUAUAAACUAAUAAUUAGACUCUGGCAUUUUAGUCUUUGGUGAGCUUACUGCUUCUUGUAAAUAUGACAGACCGUGUACAUUAUAUACAAACACUCUCUUGAUCAGUGUGUGUGUGUGUGUGUUUUAAAUGACUAAGGUAGUUGCUUUCUGUAUCAAUGUUCUUUAUUAAUGUAUAUUACAGAAGUGAUAUGUGCUUAAUGUAACAGAUGAAAUAAUUCAAAAAUGUGUAAAGAAAAUUUAAUAAUUUGUCAUCAUCCCUUUGCAUUUUCAUCCUUUGGAAAGAGUGUCAGCCACCUGGAGUAUAUCCUUCUAGACUUUACUGUGUUAACUGCUUUGAUUCCCCCUUCUUAGUAGUACCUGUAAGACUGGUUGGAAGGAUUCUGUGAAAAAGCCAAACGCUGGGUUUCUGGAUGAUUGAUUCUCCUGGGAGGAUACAGAACUAUGUUGACCUUCAUGGUACAGAUGGAAAAACUGAAGUCCAGAGAAGCCAAAAUAACUUGCCACCACUAUCCACUUGCAACCACUAUUUACUGCCUCUCAAGAUGGUUUCUUUUGAUAACCAUAUAAAGGUGGCCUCAGCUGGGCUGAUCUCCCGAGAAAUGGUGGGAGUGACCAGGCUGUCCCUCAGUGACCCCCUCCAGUGAAGUGUUCCCAGCUCUCCACCUUCAGAACAAAUGGACCUGCUUGUCCUGGCAGUGGGGAUGUGGGUCCCCAAAGUCCAGAUGUGGAUAGCAGCGGGGCCCACAGCGGUGACCGCAGCUCAGGCUCUCUUCCUGCUCCGAGCCCCUGGCCCGAGGUGGCAGAAAGAGCUUCCUUCUCAGGCGAAACCCACUUGUUCCAGUGGAUGCAUGGAUCCGUGGCCACCAGCACUCCAUGGUGCGGCAGAGACAGAGCGGGCUGGCGCACUGCCCACUUCCAGUGGCGUUGAAGGUUCCUAGGCACCUGGGGAGAUUUCAGGAAGACUUCAGAAAGGCAGCUGACCCCGCGGGAAGUCGGCGCAGAUGCACGUGGGAGCCUGUGGCUGGCGAGUUGCCGACUCUGGGCACUGGACCUGCUGCUCGUCACUGAGGCGGGCGGUCUCCGCUGUCACCUCUCAGAUACCACGGACCUUGCAAUUGGAGGCUGUUAAAAGCUAGAAACUCAGACAUCGAGUUCUAGCUUCUCAUUUUAUUUAGACCAUUUUUAACACUCAUCUCUUUUAAAAAUGAUUAUAAAGUAGUGCAUGCCUAUUCUAAAAUAUUUGGAAAUACAGAAAACAAAACGAAAAUAUAUAACCCUGUAAGGUCACCAAAGAUAACUGCUGCUAUAUUUCCACCUCAACUUUUUUCCUGUGGUCGUGUAUGUUUUUAUUAUCAUAAAAACACAUACAAUUUGUAUCUGUCUUAUUCACUUUAAAUAUAAGCAUUUUCAACAUAAAAAUGUUCUUUAUAAACACUUCUAAUGAGUGCAUAAGUGUGUUUUGAGUGGAUACACCAUGAAUACUUACUGUUACCUAAAUAUUGGGCAUUUUAUAUUUUCAGUUCUUUGAGAGCAUAAACACACAUUGAAGUAAACAUCUUUUAAACAUACAUCUUUGUCCACAGUUUGACUUUUCCGAUAGGUUCGAUUCCUACUCCUAGGAUAUAAGCAUGUUUUGCGUGUGUAUUUCCCAGAGGCUGAACUAAUGCUUGCGCGCCUUACAACACAACCAACUACACCAAAAAACACCACUUUAAAAACAUUUACCGAUUAGAAAGGCAAUUAGACUAUUGAUUCCUUUUACCAGGUGAACGGAGACUUGGUGAGGGAAGGGGACAUGCCUAGGGUCACCAUAGGAGUGUGUGACCUCAUUGCACCCUCACGACAGCCUGUAGUCGUAGUGGAGGAGCUGAAGCACAUGGACAAGGUCACCUGCCCAGACCCACCCUCAGCUCAUCAGCCGAGAGGCCUGAGUGUGACCCAUGUGGGCCACCCCAGGUCCCACGUACUCAGAGCUGCUGUCCCCAAAUAGGUGCUGGAAGGUGGUUUGGGGCCAAGAGAUGAAGGGACUUGGGUUUGGAUUUACCCUGUAGGCAGAGGGGCGCCAUGAAGCAUCAAGGCUGUGUUUUACAAAGAUGUUUUUGGUGGACUGGCUGGGGGAGGCUGGAGAGAGGGCGGCCAGUUGGAGAGAUAUGACAUGCAGAUGAUGUGAACAACAAAGAGACUGCCCAGACGCGUGUGGGCUGUGGGCUGUGGGCAGUCAGGAGCGUCAGGGGUCCAGGGAGGCCUCCCGCUGUGUCCUUUCCACUUGGCAAGGGCCAUGUUUAUCUGCUACACGUCAGGCAAAACCUGUGCCAACCACCAAAGACUCCACCUCAAGUCUAGCAAAUAAGAGAGAG